ACAGCGGGAAGCCACCUGGCGACAGGGCGCGGAACCCGAAACCCCGUCUCAGUUCGGAUUGGAGUCUGCAACUCGACUCCAUGAAGCUGGAUUCGCUAGUAAUCGCGCAUCAGCCACGGCGCGGUGAAUACGUUCCCGGGCCUUGUACACACCGCCCGUCAAGCCAUGGAAGCCGGGAGUGCCUGAAGUGCGUGACCGCAAGGAGCGUCCUAAGGCAAUACCGGUGACUGGGGCUAAGUCGUAACAAGGUACC
rnacentral:rRNA from 1 species